rnacentral:rRNA from 1 species
CCUACGGGAGGCAGCAGUGGGGAAUAUUGCACAAUGGGGGAAACCCUGAUGCAGCGACGCCGCGUGAGCGAUGAAGUAUCUCGGUAUGUAAAGCCCUAUCAGCAGGGAAGCAAAUGACGGUACCUGACUAAGAAGCCCCGGCUAACUACGUGCCAGCAGCCGCGGUAAUACGUAGGGGGCAAGCGUUAUCCGGAUUUACUGGGUGUAAAGGGAGCGUAGGCGGCGGUGCAAGCCAGAUGUGAAAGCCCGGGGCUCAACCCCGGGACUGCAUUUGGAACUGUGCUUCUAGAGUGUGGGAGAGGCAGGCGGAAUUCCUAGUGUAGCGGUGAAAUGCGUAGAUAUUAGGAGGAACACCAGUGGCGAAGGCGGCCUGCUGGACGAUAACUGACGUUGAGGCUCGAAAGCGUGGGGAGCAAACAGGAUUAGAUACCCUUGUAGUC